GACGAACGCUGGCGGCGUGCUUAACACAUGCAAGUCGAACGGAAAGUCCCUGCUUUUGUGGGGUGCUCGAGUGGCGAACGGGUGAGUAACACGUGAGUAACCUGCCCUUGACUUUGGGAUAACUUCAGGAAACUGGGGCUAAUACCGGAUAGGAGCUCCUGCUGCAUGGUGGGGGUUGGAAAGUUUCGGCGGUUGGGGAUGGACUCGCGGCUUAUCAGCUUGUUGGUGGGGUAGUGGCUUACCAAGGCUUUGACGGGUAGCCGGCCUGAGAGGGUGACCGGCAACAUUGGGACUGAGGUGCGGCCCAGACUACUACGGGGGGCAGCAGUGGGGAAUAUUGCACAAUGGGCGGAAGCCUGAUGCAGCAACGCCGCGUGCGGGAUGACGGCCUUCGGGUUGUAAACCGCUUUCGCCUGUGACGAAGCGUGAGUGACGGUAAUGGGUAAAGAAGCACCGGCUAACUACGUG
rnacentral:rRNA from 1 species